rnacentral:rRNA from 1 species
AGAGUUUGAUCCUGGCUCAGGAUGAACGCUAGCGGCAGGCUUAACACAUGCAAGUCGAGGGGCAGCGGGAGUAGCAAUACUUGCCGGCGACCGGCGCAAGGGUGCGUAACGCGUGAGCAACAUGCCCGUAUCAGGGGGAUAAUCCAGGGAAACUUGGUCUAAUACCCCAUAGUAAUCUUAGGAGGCAUCUUUUAAGAUUUAAAGCUUUGGUGGAUACGGAUUGGCUCGCGUGACAUUAGCUAGAUGGUAGGGUAACGGCCUACCAUGGCUACGAUGUCUAGGGGUUCUGAGAGGAAGAUCCCCCACACUGGAACUGAGACACGGUCCAGACUCCUACGGGAGGCAGCAGUGAGGAAUAUUGGACAAUGGAUGGAAAUCUGAUCCAGCCAUGCCGCGUGCAGGAAGACUGCCCUAUGGGUUGUAAACUGCUUUUGUAUGGGAGCAAUAAGCCCUUCGUGAAGGGUGAUGAGAGUACCAUACGAAUAAGCAUCGGCUAACUCCGUGCCAGCAGCCGCGGUAAUACGGAGGAUGCAAGCGUUAUCCGGAUUUAUUGGGUUUAAAGGGUGCGUAGGCGGUUGGAUAAGUCAGCGGUGAAAGUUUUCUGCUUAACAGGAAAAAUGCCGUUGAUACUGUCUGGCUAGAAUAUGGUUGCUGUGAGUGGAAUGUGUGGUGUAGCGGUGAAAUGCUUAGAUAUCACACAGAAUAUCGAUUGCGAAGGCAGCUCACAAAGCCAUUAUUGACGCUGAGGCACGAAAGUGUGGGGAUCAAACAGGAUUAGAUACCCCGGUAGU